rnacentral:rRNA from 1 species
AUGGUAGGAGUCAUGAUGAGCGCUUCAACUGGCGCCAUGAACUCCCUCCUGGGCAAGCUGACCACCCUCAUGGGGGAGGAGUUCGCCAAGCUCAAGAAUCUACGCAAGGAAGUGAAGUUCAUCAAGCAUGAGCUUGGCAGCAUGAAGGAUACUCUUGAGGUGCUUGCAGAUGUGGACAAGCUAGAACCCCAGACCAAGAGCUGGAGGGACACGCUAAGGGAGAUGUCUUAUGACAUUGAAGACAUCAUUGACGAUUUUAUGCAUCACAUUGGGAAGAAAAGUGAAUCCGAAAACCAUGGGUUCGCCAAGAAGACUGUUCGGCUCCUAAAAAAGUUGAGAGUCCGUCAUCAGAUCGCCGGUCAGAUCAAGGAGAUCAAGAGACUGGUGCUUGAGAUAAGUGCACGGCGCCAAUGGUACAAGCUUGAUAUUUCCCCAUCAAAAAAUGUGGAAAUUGACCCAAGAGUUGCCGCAGCCAAUCUUGUUGGUGUGAAACGGCCAGCAAAGGAGCUUGAGAACCUGCUAAAAGAUGAGAACAAGAAAUUCAAGGUGGUAUCGGUUGUGGGAUUUGGAGGUCUAGGCAAAACAACACUUGCGAAUGUGGUAUAUGGGAAGAUCAAGAUCGGAUUUCAAUGUUGUGCUUUUGUGCCAGUCUCCCAGAAGCCAGACAUACCAAAACUUCUCCGUGAUUUACUGUCCCAACUUGGGUGUAAACCAUCUUCUCAUGAUUGCGGCUUAAAUGUCAUGUUGGACCAACCUAGGGAACAUCUACACAACAAGAGGUACUUGAUUAUAAUUGAUGAUCUAUGGGGUGUAUCAGACUGGGAUAUUAUCAAACGUGCAUUCCCAGAAAAUGAACUUGGCAGCAGAGCAAUAGUGACGACAAGAGUUCAGGAAGUGGCUGGAGCAUGUUGCUCCCGUCAUCAUGAUUAUAUUUUACAAAUGAAGCCUCUAAAUGACAAACACUCGAGAAGGUUGUUUUUUGGCAGGAUAUUUGGCAGGGAAGAUGCUUGCCCUAACCCACUCAGAGAUGUUUCAGUUGAAAUUCUCAAUAAGUGUGGUGGCUUGCCUCUUGCAAUUAUUAGCAUAGCAGGCCUGCUAGCAAGUGAAAGUCACAACCAAGAGGAGUGGGAACAUGUUCGGAAUUCUUUGGGCUCGAUGUCUGGAACAAAACUCACACUGAAAGGGAUGAGACAAAUCUUAAACCUCAGCUACAAAGAUCUUCCAUGUCAGCUGAAGACAUGCUUGUUCUUGGUAUGUAUCCAGAGGACUACACAAUAA